UGUUUCUGGGGCUGGUACCUGUGAAUCAUUCUUUAGCUGUCCUGUUACCCUGACACAGAGAAUAAUGAGAAAUUCUCUUGACACGCACCGAGCUUUUACACAUGAUACAAAGAUAUUUCACAUGCUGAACAGACUUUAUUGAAACAGAGACAAUCAUCAGAAUACAGUGAGACAGAGCUAAUCAAACAGAUUGAUUGUAGGAUCAAUGAUCAUUGUUGGAGUCAAAGAUCUGAGAUCACAGUGGGUGAACAUCAUUUCAGAAAGGAAAGAAAAACAAUCAAACUGGUUAAACAGGAACACCAUAGACUCUUUGGUUUCUGCCCAGUGAGCAUUCCCAGCUCUGUUACUAAAACGAA